rnacentral:rRNA from 1 species
UGGGGAAUAUUGCACAAUGGGGGAAACCCUGAUGCAGCGACGCCGCGUGAACGAAGAAGGUAUUCGUAUCGUAAAGUUCUGUCCUAUGGGAAGAUAAUGACAGUACCAUAGAAGAAAGCUCCGGCUAAAUACGUGCCAGCAGCCGCGGUAAUACGUAUGGAGCGAGCGUUGUUCGGAAUUAUUGGGCGUAAAGGGUACGCAGGCGGUUUAAUAAGUCGAAUGUUAAAGACCGGGGCUCAACCCCGUAAAGCAUUGGAAACUGAUAAACUUGAGUAGUGGAGAGGAAAGUGGAAUUCCUAGUGUAGUGGUGAAAUACGUAGAUAUUAGGAGGAAUACCGGUGGCGAAGGCGACUUUCUGGACACAAACUGACGCUGAGGUACAAAAGCGUGGGGAGCAAACAGG